rnacentral:tRNA from 1 species
AAUAAGGUGUCUGAAGUUUAGGUCGUAAAGUGUAAUUUUAUGUAUGGUUAAUUAACCCCUUAUUA